AUUGAACGCUGGCGGCAUGCCUUACACAUGCAAGUCGAACGGCAGCACGGGUGCUUGCACCUGGUGGCGAGUGGCGAACGGGUGAGUAAUACAUCGGAACAUGUCCUGUAGUGGGGGAUAGCCCGGCGAAAGCCGGAUUAAUACCGCAUACGAUCUACGGAUGAAGGCGGGGGCCCUUCGGGCCUCGCGCUAUCGGGUUGGCCGAUGGCUGAUUAGCUAGUUGGUGGGGUAAAGGCCUACCAAGGCGACGAUCAGUAGCUGGUCUGAGAGGACGACCAGCCACACUGGGACUGAGACACGGCCCAGACUCCUACGGGAGGCAGCAGUGGGGAAUUUUGGACAAUGGGCGAAAGCCUGAUCCAGCAAUGCCGCGUGUGUGAAGAAGGCCUUCGGGUUGUAAAGCACUUUUGUCCGGAAAGAAAUCCUUGGCCCUAAUACGGUCGGGGGAUGACGGUACCGGAAGAAUAAGCACCGGCUAACUACGUG
rnacentral:rRNA from 1 species